CCUACGGGAGGCAGCAGUGGGGAAUUUUGGACAAUGGGCGCAAGCCUGAUCCAGCCAUGCCGCGUGUGGGAAGAAGGCCUUCGGGUUGUAAACCACUUUUGUCAGGGAAGAAAUGGCUUUUUCUAAUACAGAGAGCUAAUGACGGUACCUGAAGAAUAAGCACCGGCUAACUACGUGCCAGCAGCCGCGGUAAUACGUAGGGUGCAAGCGUUAAUCGGAAUUACUGGGCGUAAAGCGUGCGCAGGCGGCUUUGCAAGACAGAUGUGAAAUCCCCGGGCUCAACCUGGGAACUGCAUUUGUGACUGCAUGGCUAGAGUACGGUAGAGGGGGAUGGAAUUCCGCGUGUAGCAGUGAAAUGCGUAGAUAUGCGGAGGAACACCGAUGGCGAAGGCAAUCCCCUGGACCUGUACUGACGCUCAUGCACGAAAGCGUGGGGAGCAAACAGGAUUAGAUACCCUGGUAGUCCACGCCCUAAACGAUGUCAACUGGUUGUUGGACGGCUUGCUGUUCAGUAACGAAGCUAACGCGUGAAGUUGACCGCCUGGGGAGUCGGCCGCAGGUUAAAACCNCAAAUGAAUUGACGG
rnacentral:rRNA from 1 species